rnacentral:miRNA from 1 species
UGUGUGGUGUGUGUGUGUGUGUGUGUGUGUGUGUGUGCGUGCUGCGCGCUCAUUAAGACAGGGCCUCGCUC